rnacentral:rRNA from 1 species
UACGUAGGGUGCGAGCGUUAAUCGGAAUUACUGGGCGUAAAGCGUGCGCAGGCGGCUUUACAAGACAGAUGUGAAAUCCCCGGGCUCAACCUGGGAACUGCAUUUGUGACUGCAAGGCUAGAGUACGGCAGAGGGGGAUGGAAUUCCGCGUGUAGCAGUGAAAUGCGUAGAUAUGCGGAGGAACACCAAUGGCGAAGGAAAUCCCCUGG